GAGGCAUCAUCUUCAUUGCUUUGAGCCUCACAAUGGUGAGUGGACCUAUCAGUGAUUGUGUGCUUGUUUAUUCAGGAUGUGGGUGGCACUGUGGUCUAAACCACUGAGCCUCUUGGGCUUGCCAAUCAGAAGGUCAGCAAUUUGAAUCCCUUGACAAGGUGAGCUCCCAUUGCUCUGUCCCAGCUUCUGCCAACCUAGCAGUUCGAAAGCAUGCCAGUGCAAGUAGAUAAACAGGUACUGCUACUGUGGGAAGGUAAACAGUGUUUCUGUGCACUUUGGCUUAUGUCAGGGCCUGCGUCUGUUGUGCCAGAAGCAAUUUAGUCAUGCUGGCCACAUGACCCAGAAGGCUGUCUGUGGGCAAAUGCUGGCCCCUUCGGCCUGAAAAUGAGAUGAGUGCUGCAACCCCAUAGUCACCUUUGACUGGACUUAACCAUCCUGUGGUCCUUUACUUUACUUUUACUUACUUCUCAUAUCACUGCCACAUACCUCUGAGGCCCAAGUCUCAUAGUAAAAUGUGUAUUGUUUAACUAUAGCUAAUGAAAUACCUUUGUGCGCCAGCAGUGUCAAAAAGCAAUAUGGCUGAAAUGCAAUAGAAACACGGAUUGCGAGCCUCAUUGGUGUGUGUCAAAUAUGGCCCUCUAGGACCUGCAUCCAACUCGUACUUUCCCCAGGGCACACCCCAUCCCUAAACUAUGUGAUUCAGUGGCCCUAUUCUAUGCCCUCAUUGAGUGCUUUGGCCUGGCUGGAUCAUGUCCUUGGACUGUGUCAUUGCUUAAUAAUAGAGCCACCCUCUCACCUUUGUUUUUUUGAACAGCCAAGGUCACGGAGCCAUUUGGAAUGUAGGGCGUCCCUGGCUACAUUCAAAAGGCAGUUUAUUCUCUUUUCAUGCCUUUCCCCUAACUGAACUGUUAGGUUCUGCGCUACAGUUGAGCUUUCAAGCCAUUUCUGGAAUUAUGGUGAAAUUAUAGUGCAAAUUGAGUGCUUAUUUCUGUGUUGUUAACUUGCGGGGGGGGGGGAGUUUGUUUGUUUGUUUGUUUAUACCCCACCCAUCUGGCUGGGAUUCCCCAGCCACUCCAAAUAACAUGGAAAUGAGUGCUAAGCUUGCAUUAUAUUCCACUAUAGUACCAGAAGUGACUUUUACAUCAUAUGGACUCUCACCUACUGUAUAUCUCUAAUUAACAGUUCUGGAAAAGACACAAAAAUGGAAUAAACUGCCUUGUGACGUCAGCCCCUGACCCACCUCAAGAUGCUUUUGUUAAUGGUGUGAUCCACAUCAGAAAUCUCAGUAACUUCCCUUAAUCACCUCAGAAUUUGGGCUACACACAGAGCCUUUCCACACAGUGACUUUUACUUUCAAAAGUCACACCUUUUGCUCCAUACCCUCCAACAUUUUUCUGAUGAAAAUAGGGAUGUCCUAUCCCAUUAUUUAUACCCCGUCCAUCUUACUGGCUUGCCCCAGCCACUCUGGGUGGCUUCCAACAUAUAUACCAUAAUAAAGCAUUAAAUGUUUCUUUUUUUAAACUUCCCUGUAGAGGGUUGCCUUCAGAUGUCUUCUAAAGGCUGCAUAGUUACUUAUCUACUUGGCUCAGAGGUCACGUGACUCCAUAACCUCCAACUUUUCUCCAGUGAAAAUAGGGACUUCCUACCCAGACUUUUUUUUCAGCCAGAACUCACCAGAGCUCAGUUCCGGAACCUCUCAAGUGGGCGCCAUUGGCAUUUUAAGAGGCACCUCUUUUUCUAGAAAAAGAGCACUGCAUGCUACUCCGAUAUACUCUGUCAAAUAAAUACUCAGUCCUCCAUUUCUCCAUGUUACCCUGUGUCAAAGAGUAAGUGGAACUGCUCACGUAUCACAAGAGAUGGUGUCUGAACUGUCCAAAACUUUUGUUUUGUUCAGCUACAGGAUUGGCAGUCCAGGUGCAGGGGACCUCGAAAACAAGCACAAAGUGUCAUUUUCUUUCCUGAUUGCUUUAGACUGUCAUAUAUAUAAAAAGUGGAUGAAAUACCUUGGCUAGCAUUGGAAGGAGAAGCAGAGAGUGAAAGGAGACAGUGUAAACAAUGAAAGAAGCAAAACGUUUUGUGAGAGCAAGCCGUUUAUCCCCUAGAAAGAAUCCGUUAUCUAUGGUCAGUAGGAAAGAAAAAAGCAACUUUGAUUUCUUGGUUUAUAAAGAAUACUAGAAAGAUUACAAACUUGAUCCAAGACCUUGAGCUAGGAAAGAAGUUUCAUUUAUUCUUCCUUGGCUGGUUGUUGUUUUUUUUCUGUAUGCUUUCAUGUUGUGCCUCUGGAAAUUUAGGAACAAGACAAAUUUGUCAAACUAUGUGUCAGUUCUUGGUGGCAAGACAGACAACUAAAAGACAAAGGAAAAAAUAACUCAAAAGUGCAAGACUUCUGGGGUUGUUGCUUCCUCCUAUUUACCUAUGCCUUCUUUAAAAAAUGCAGCACUGUAAUAUUCAGUAUGGGUGAAAGGGUUAAAACCCCACUCCCCACAUGCCACGGUCCUGAUCCACAUUGGGGGCCUUCAGACAUUUUCUGUUUGAAACACACACAAUACAAAUACUAAUGUACACUCAUUUAACAUAACACUGAAGCUGGCCGCUGCUUGUAUAUCCCUGGCUUGAGAAGGAAUCCCAUGUGCAAAUGGGUUGUUGCUUGAUUUCAAGUAGCCAGGCCUGCAAACACUGUCCUUUUUUAAAAAAGCAAUGUUUAUGCUUAGGAAGAGGAGGAGGCUGGAUAUCCCAUGUUAUGUACUGAAGUUCUCACCCUGGGCCAGCAGGGGGAUACUGUAGAUAGUUCAGGUCCACAUAUGCAAAUAAGGGAUCGAAAGUGACGUUCAGUGAUUGGAUAGUUACAGAAAAUGGUUACUGUUGAGUUCUAGUGGAGCUCUAUAUACCCGGUAAGCAGGCUGGCUGAACCCUUCAGUUCAGUUCUGUUCUGGCCUGUGAAUAAACAAGAGCUGUGUCCUCUGAUAUGUUCACCCACAACUUAACAUACCGGUCACUGCUACCACAUCUCAGGCCUGAAUUAUAGCAUGCAACAGACUACCACAGAGUCUAGAUGGAUCACAUAGCUCAGAAGCAGCAGUCCCUCCAAUAUUCCUCAGAUGAAGAUAGGGAAAUUUUUCACUCCUCCCAAAGGAUCAUCAUUGAGCCCGCCAUUUUUGCCCCCUCCCACAUUGCAGAGCAUUUCCUAUAAGAAGAAGGACGAGUGACUCCACUACUAAGUAAAAGGUGAAGGACCCCUGGACGGUUAAGUCCAGUCAAAGGUGACUCUGGAGUUGAGGUGCUCAUCUUGCUUUCAGGCCGAGGGAGCCAGCAUUUACCCACAGACAUCUUUCCGGGUCAUGUGGCCAGCAGGACUAAACCGUUUCUGGCACAACAGGACACCAUGACGGAAACCAGAGCGCACAGAAAUGCCAUUUCCCUUCCCGUCGCAGCGGUACCUAUUUAUUUACUUGCACUGGUGUGUUUUUGAACUGCUACGUUGGCAGGAGCUGGGACAGAGCAACGGGACCUCACCCCGACAAGCGAAUUCGAACCGCUGACCUUCCGAUUGGGAAGUCGAAGACAGCACACACCACCUCCACCAUUUUGAGAAAAUCCCUUAAUCCAGAUUCUAUUUUAUUCUUUGAUUAGAAAAAGCAAAACACACAGUAAUAAAUAAAUUUUAGAAAGCAGCAAGAUUAGAUGCAGAUGCAUAAAGCUUUUUUUAAAAAAAAAAUAACCUCGACCCUGCUCCCCCUUUCAAUUAAUCCAGAGAUAAAUAAACUCAGCCUCAUAAGACUGCAGGCAGAGCCAGAGAACUGCAGGUGGCAAAGACAUAUUUUUCCUCUUCUCACCCCGUAGAAGAGAAUGCUUCUUCUAACAUGACACCUGUUACAAGACCGCCUGUGUCAUUUAAGAACAGAAACAGAAUGCUUCUUGCUUCAGAGCUAUCGUUUCAUCCAUGUACAAAUUUAUGUGAGUUUAAUAGAUAAAUCAAUUAGCAGGCGAGACAGGUGAUCACAGUUCCUCAUGUGUGCUUCCUUGCAUUUCUUGCACAGCAAAAUAAAACCAGAGGUGGAAUGGGAGCACAAUUAACCCAGUAAGAAGUAAUUAUUAUUGAAAACCUAAGAGGCAUAUAAUUGUGUUCUACUAGCCUUAGAAGGCUUUACAAAAUGUAAGCUCUUGUUUACGAAGCCAGGUCUUGCUCUUCAGUCGCAAGAGACCAUGAAUUGCACUGCACUCCAUUUUGCAGAGGCUCUAAGGCCAUUUCCUGUCGUUUUGGAAAGAAAAGGAACAACCCUGUCAAUCUGCUCGUUUUGUUUGGAACACAGAAAUGUUGAGAGAAUUAAUUCCAAGCAAAAUAUUUCAAUCAAUAUUUAUCCAUGAUUAAAGAGAAGAUGGUACAAUACAGGCUGAACGUGACUGUCACAGCACUUCUGCCGCACAUGUCCCAAGCCUUCAGAACAGACAGAUAAACCACAAAUUGUGUCACCCUGGUGAGCAGCUGUCAGAGAACGCAACAGAUUGGAAAAAGGAAAAUCUAUUACAGAGAAAAUGAUGCAGCCACCAGACCCAGGGAGUCAUCCUCCAGUGAACCAGGACCUUGCAGAAGGUAUAUGAUGAUAUUCUUGGAACAUGUAAAGGCCACUGGGCCCAUCUUGCUGACACUUUCUAAAUAGGCUAUUUCUUUUAACUAUCUCCCUCUACAGAGAUGUUAGAACUUCUCACUUACCACUGGCUCUUCCCAUUAAAGCUCUAAUUAUGUAUGAGCCUGCAGGGCUAACAAAAUGGGAGCUCAGCAUGAUGUUUUUAUAGGUCCAGGUAGCACAACUACCAUCACAGCUUUGCCUAGGACUGGAGCACGCAGUCUUUCACUAGGAGAGGAAAUCUACAAACUUGGAGCCCAAGCUGGACCAGAAUUUAAUUUGCUGUGCUAUUACCGUAACUUGCAUGCAAAUGAAAUUAAGCAAAGCCGGUGCCAGUUUCUGAACCAGUGUCCCUGAAAAUAACUAUGGCAUAUUGUUUCAUUAUUUUUUAUUUGCAAAAUAGCAGGCUUUCUUGUUGUUUAGUCGCUUAGUUGUGUCCGACUCUUCGUGACCCCAUGGACCAGAGCACUUCAGGCACUCCUGUCUUCCACUGCCUCCCACAGUUUGGUCAAACUCAUGCUGGUAGCUUCGAGAACACUGUCCAACCAUCUCGUCCUCUGUCGUCCCCUUCUCCUUGUGCCCUCCAUCUUUCCCAACAUCAGGGUCUUUUCCAGGGAGUCUUCUCUUCUCCUGAGAUGGCCAAAGUAUUAGAGCCUCAGCUUCAGGAUCUGUCCUUCCAGUGAGCACUCAGGGCUGAUUUCCUUCAGAAUGGAUAGGUUUGAUCUUCUUGCAGUCCACGGGACUCUCAAGAGUCUCCUCCAGCACCAUAAUUCAAAAACAUCAAUCCGUUAUUGAACACUCAUGAUAGACAAAAUUAUCUUAAGCAAGAAUGUCAGCCUGCAACAGCAAGAAGACGUGGUCCCAGGUUCAUGACAGGGCUAGGAGAGACUGAAACCCUGUAGAUCUUCUGCCAAACAGUGUAAAUAAUACUGAGUUAGGUAAAGGUAAAGGUAAAGGGACCCCUGACCAUUAGGUCCAGUCGUGGACAACUCUAAGGUUGCGGCACUCAUCUCGCUUUACUGGCCGAGGGAGCCAGCGUACAGCUUCUGGGUCAUGUGGCCAGCAUGACUAAGCCACUUCUGGCGAACCGGAGCAGCGCACGGAAACACAGUUUACCUUCUCGCCAGAGUGGUACCUAUUUAUCUGCUUGCACUGCUAGAUUGGUAGGAGCAGGGACUGAGGAACAGGAGCUCACCCCGUCACGGGGAUUUGAAUCCCCGUCGCGGGGAUUUGAUCGGCAAGCCCUAGGCUCUGUGGUUUAACCCACAGCAUCACCCAGUAAUCUGGCUGUUCCUCCUAAGUCUCCUCGCUAUUUCCCUUUGUUGGAGGACAGGAAUGGGGAUGCAGUAGUAUCUUGCCCUUUGCAUCGUGCCACAAAGUGCCCCGAGUGCACCCUAAAAACCCUUGCUUUUAAGGUUUGACACCAAUGUAGAGAAACACGUUUCUCAAUCCUUCAGUUAAGAAACCCAGGAUCCUUUAAAAGCCUGGUUGCUUAAAAAUUCAGUGUUACCAUUCUUCCACAAGCUUAUGCAUUGUGAUAAGUGCUCUCCAAGUUUCUGCUCAUGACAGAUGAGGAAGACAUGGCAUUAUAUUGUUUUUAACCUUAGUUCAGAGUAAUUACUGUCAACAAACAACUCAGUUUUGUAUGUUUUAAAUAAUUAAAGGCAAGCACUCUUCUUUGAUCUCCCGGAAAAGCUCUUUCAUUCAGCAGUUUUGCUUAUUCCCAUCAUACCUACAACACGGUUUUUGUUAAAAAGGAACUUUCUCUGUAAACUGGUGUUCCCAUUAUGAAUACACCAUCAUCCAAACACUCACGUUAGAGGGUUCAGUGCCUCACCCAGGUUGAGAAAGAUUUCUGAUUUUGCACACACCAAUAAUAUGCAAAAAUUAUUUAAAAAACACAAACACGUCAUCACUUUGAGCAUUCCUUUCUAAGGAAUGCCUUUUCACAAUUGCAAAUCCCUGCUUCAAGGCUGCAUUCUGUUUUAUAAAAUGCUUGUUUUCUGUUGAUUCAUUAACCAUCUGCUUUGGAUGAUGCUGUGAAAGAUGCUUUUGACUUUGCAAUAUGCAAAUAUCACCAAAGAAAUAAAGAAAAGGCCCCAGUAUGUAGCCACAUCCUACUGGUUUUUCUUCUUCACUUUUUUUCACUUUUUGACUUUUUAUUAAAUAUAGUACAGUUGGACAAGAGCAACUAUUCAUUUUCCUCACUGCGAAGCCUGGCAUUUGGAUUGGUGACUUUGAUAGCAAGCUGAGCUGCUCUUUCCACAAUUAUCUUCCGAUUCUUGGAUGAAACCUUGUGAGCAAUCUCUGCACAAUAGGACUUGUUGCUCAGCAGCUGCACCUCCAGCUCUUUGACGUUGUGUCAAAGGAACUUUCUGAAUGCUGAAGGCAACAUGUGCUUUGUCUUCUUACUGCUAAGAAGCCCAAUACUGGGCAUCAAUAUUUGGCCCUUGAACCUUUUGAGAGCUUUGUUGUCAGUACAGCUGGGCUUCCACCAGUUACGCUUAAUUUUGACAUAGUGGUCAGAAGGAUGGCGGAUGAACUUCUUCGUCCUCUUCUCCCCCCCCCUUUUUUAAUAAUGAUUUUUUUUAAGUUUUCCAUAUUUCAUUUCAUUUUAUCAUACAUAUCAUACAUAUCUCGAGCUUACAUCACUACUCCAAAUGAGUAACGACUUCCUUCCGUCACUCUUUCUGACUUUCCUACUAUUUUAACAUAUUUAUCACAUUUCUAUAAUCACUUCUUUACCAUAUAUAAUCAUAUAACAAUCACCCUUUCAUUUGUAAAUUAGCUCCUUCUUUCCACAUUACAAAACAUUUCACGUUAAUGCUACAAAUGUUUUUAGGUGUUUACAACUUACUUUCAAAUAAUUUAUAAAUUUGCUCCAGUCCCUUUGAAAUCUUUCGUCGGGUCAAUUCCUAAUGUUCUCCAUCAACUUCGCCAGUUCCACAUACUCUAUCAUCUUUAUCUGCCAAUCAUCCAGGGUGGGGAGCUCUUGUUGUUUCCAUCUUUGGGCCAGGAGGAUUUUUGCUGCCGUUGUGGCGUACAUGAAUAGGUUUACAUCUUUUGGGUGGAUUUCCUCAUCAAUUAGUCCUAAUAAAAAUACUUCUGGUUUUUUACUAAAAUUUUAUUUCAAUACCUUUUUUAAUUCGUUGUAAAUAGUAUCCCAGAAGAUUUUAACUUUAGUACAAGUCCACCACAUAUAUAGGAAAUUCCCUUCUUUUUCCCUACAUUUCCAGCAUAAUUUAUCUUGGCUUCUAUACAUUAUGGCUAAUUUACUUGGUGUGAAUGCUGAAGGCAACAUGUGCUUUGUCUUCUUGCAGCUACCAUACCCAAUACUGGGCAUCAAUAUUUAGCCCUUGAAUCUUCUGAGAACUCUGUUGUCAAUGCAGCUGUUGCGCUGUAUUGCAAUACACCAGUUACGCUUAAUUUUGACAUAGUGGUCAGAAGGAUGGCGGAUGAACUUCUUCGUCCUCUUCUUGAUGAUCUUAGGCUUGAUGAGGGGUCUGAGGACCGGCAUAGUGUCUGCACCCGCACAGAGAGGGAGUGUAGAGAGGGAGAGAAAAGCACCACUUCCUACUAUACAGAGCUGUAUUUCGUUUAGCAUAGUGGUUCCCAAAGUAGGCACACACACACACACACACGGGGUGCUAAGAAGCAAGGGAGUGGCAUGGGGGGAGUGUCACUGGAAGUGAAAAUAACUAUCAGACUUUGAAAAGCUAAUAUCACUAGAUCAAGAUCAACAAAUUUGUUGAAUUAAUUACAAUAAAUAGUUUUAACUGGAUUUUUAAUAAAUGUGCAAUCCAUGGUUACUGUUUUGAAUUGUACUGUGUUAUUAUCUUCCUUAGUGGCUCAUGCAAACCACUGUUCUGAAUAAUGCAUUUGAUAGCAUGGGGGCACAGGGGUGUGGAAAGAUAUAUCCGUGUCAAUGUGCUAUUUCAUACACACAAAAUGUAUCUUAUCUAAAUGGUCAGUUUGUCACCAUAGUGUUCAGCAACUUAAAAUCUACAUAAGAGGAAGAGCCAGAUGUCAAGGGUUAUAAACUGAUAUUGUGCUACUUAGAACCCCGAGGCACAGAAAAUUGCCUUCUUUUUUUCCUCUCCCCCCCCCCCAGUAAUUUUAUUAGAAUUUGGAAAAAGGGAUCAAGAUUAUCAUCUACUAUCUUUUUAUAAAAACUCUAAGACAUUAAUCUAAAUAAAAACACAGACCAGAAAGAACAAUUUUUAAAAGGAAAGAAAGGAAAAGAGAGAGAGAGAGAGAAGGAUGGAGAAGGAUAGAGAAGGGAUAAAGGAGAGAAGAGGAGUGAAAGAGAGGAGAUAAUGAAAGAAAAAGGAAGUAGGAAAGAAAGAAGCAGAGAGAGAAAGAAAGAAAGAAAGAAAGAAAGAAAGAAAGAAAGAAAGAAAGAAAGAAAGAAAGAAAAUAGAUAACUUCUGAUUAUUCAUCUGUCCACUAUCAUCAUCAUCAUCCUUUUUAUUCGACCGUCAGUCAGAAAAAAGUACAUUGUGUCAAUACACAGUUAAAAACAUCCAGGAAGAUUUUAAAACUUAGCCAACACUAAAAUGGGCUAAACAGGUAGCCCCAUAUCAAUACAGUCAAUUAUAGUCUCGCGACGCUUAAAAGCUAAAAAGAGAAAUUUGGCCACCAAGGAAGGUAUAGCUCUAGUGGCAUUAUUCACCAAGUGUAAAACCUGGUUUUCUCCGGGUUGGAAGCUGAAUUGACAUAGGAGUGGGUCUAUAAAAUUUUGUCUAAGCUCUGCAUAAGAAGGGCAAGUCAAGAGAAUGUGUUCGGUGGACUCAACCACACCCAUGGCACAAUGACAGGUUCUCUGGGCGUAUGGUACAUCUGUCCACUAUAUAUAACAUUAUGACCAUAGGCACCAACUCCUAGGGGUGCAGGUGUAUUUGGCCCCCUCAAUAUUUGUUGGCAGGGGGCUGAGCCCCCCAACGUUGAGUGAAUGGAGGAGACCAAGCGUGGUGCAGCAUCUUUGGCCAGCUCCUCCUGAGCGUGCGAGAUGAGAAGCCCCUGGUCAUUGAAGGUGUGCGGUGUUGCACUCUGUGCUUGGCCUCCUCCCAACGAUGCGUGUGCUUUGCAUGCAUGACAUCACGGGUGCGUGACGCUGGGCCCCCUCAGUAUUGGGUGCCAGAUGAAGCCUCUGCCCAUGACUGAUGGUUUGAUUUCAAAAAUGUGCCCCUCGACUCUAAAAGGUUGGGUACCUCUGUACUAUUCAAGUGGGGCAGGGGCAUGAGAACCACCAUGUCAGCUAUAGUAGCAACUAUAGUUGUAGGUACCCUGCAAAACAAUUUGCAAUCCUCAUCCAAAACCUCUUCCACUUUUUGUUUUUAGCUUACAAAUACCGC